UACGUAGGGCCCGAGCGUUGUCCGGAUUUAUUGGGCGUAAAGCGUGCGCAGGCGGUUUAUCAAGUCUGAAGUAAAAGGCAAUGGCUCAACUAUUGUAUGCAUUUGAAACUGCUAGUCUUGAGUUCUGGAGGGGAGAGUGGAAUUCCUUGUGUAGCGGUGAAAUGCGCAGAUAUUUGGAGGAAUACCGGUGGCGAAGGCGGCUCUCUGGCCAGAAACUGACGCUGAGGUACGAAAGCGUGGGGAGCAAACAGG
rnacentral:rRNA from 1 species